rnacentral:rRNA from 1 species
CGGACGGGUGAGUAAUGUCUGGGAAACUGCCCAAUGGAGGGGGGUAACUACUGGAAACGGUAGCUAAUACCGCAUAACGUCGCAAGACCAAAGAGGGGGACCUUCGGGCCUCUUGCCAUCGGAUGUGCCCAGAUGGGAUUAGCUAGUAGGUGGGGUAACGGCUCACCUAGGCGACGAUCCCUAGCUGGUCUGAGAGGAUGACCAGCCACACUGGAACUGAGACACGGUCCAG